AAAAAUCCCGGGGCUCAAAUCCCGGAUUUUCCGGGGGGGUACGGGCCAAACUUAAAGUUAUUUUAGGGGGAAACCUGGAAUUUCCUGGGGGUAGGGGGGGAAAAUGGGCCAGAAUUUCAGGGGGGAAACCCCGAUGGCGAAAGGCAGGUUUUUUGGGCAUUAACUGACGCUGAGGAGCGAAAGCAUGGGGAGCGAACAGGAUUAGAUACCCUGGUAGUCCAUGCCGUAAACGUUGGGCACUAGGUGUGGGGGACAUUCCACGUUUUCCGCGCCGUAGCUAACGCAUUAAGUGCCCCGCCUGGGGAGUACGGCCGCAAGGCUAAAACUCAAAGGAAUUGACGGGGGCCCGCACAAGCGGCGGAGCAUGCGGAUUAAUUCGAUGCAACGCGAAGAACCUUACCAAGGCUUGACAUGGACCGGAAAUGCCUGGAAACAGGUGCCCCGCUUGCGGUCGGUUCACAGGUGGUGCAUGGUUGUCGUCAGCUCGUGUCGUGAGAUGUUGGGUUAAGUCCCGCAACGAGCGCAACCCUCGUUCUAUGUUGCCAGCGCGUUAUGGCGGGGACUCAUAGGAGACUGCCGGGGUCAACUCGGAGGAAGGUGGGGACGACGUCAAAUCAUCAUGCCCCUUAUGUCUUGGGCUUCACGCAUGCUACAAUGGCCGGUACAAAGGGUUGCGAUACUGUGAGGUGGAGCUAAUCCCAAAAAGCCGGUCUCAGUUCGGAUUGGGGUCUGCAACUCGACCCCAUGAAGUCGGAGUCGCUAGUAAUCGCAGAUCAGCAACGCUGCGGUGAAUACGUUCC
rnacentral:rRNA from 1 species